GCAGCUUCUCGCCGUUCUUACCGAUGACAAAACGGUGGUGCUCCUUAGGGAUGGCGACCGUAGCUGAGGCCUAGAGGGAGGAAUGCAGGCAUUGAAGUGGAAAUCAGCAUGUUUACUGCUGAAGCCCAGGAAGGCAGCCGCCGGGAGCUGACGGUCAUUUUUCAACUCAUCUUUUUGUCCUAAAGCGACCUGCCUGCACGGGCUAUGCUAUAUCAAUUUGUGCGAGCUACGAUCUCCUUGCGAGCCUUCAUGACGGAGUCCAGUUUUCCGGUGACCAUGAUGGACAGGCCCUGGUCUUUGGCCAGAGA